AAGGGUUUUGCUGUUGAGUAGAUGUGGCGGCUGCAGCUGCGGCGGCGAUGGUAGUGGUGGUGGUAGGGUUUAGGUUUUGUGGUGGUUGUGAUUGUACUACUGAGGUAGUGGUUGUUGUAGUAGACGGGAGUUGACUGGUUGCGGCGGCGGAGGAGGAAGGUGGUGGAGGCGGAGAUGGUGGUGGAAGCUGUUGUUGUUCAGUUGGCUGUGAAGUGGACGUCGACGGCGGCGGUGUC
rnacentral:lncRNA from 1 species